CAGUAAUGUCUCGUGCGAGGACAGAAAGAAUUGGAAAAGGCUAUAUCGACAUGGAAGUUCAAAAGCAAAUGGAGACAAAAUAAUCAUCAAACGAGCAAAAAGAGCAUCGGCGGUCACUAAGCGUGUUCCAUUUGCAGCAGGCAGAAAGGCCACCCUCCGUAGCUCUGCAACAUCUCCAUUUUUUCCAAUCAUUUGCAAGUGCUUCAAAACUGUGGAAAAAGCUGGAGGACUGCGUAGAUGGAGAGAAUAGCAUUUGGAGGAGGCCGCUUUAGCAGAUUAUUGGGUUUAACACCGCGAAUGUAGUGUGGCUUUGUGGAA